GAUCCCUUUAGCACCCUCUGCCCCUCUACUUCUCUUCCUUCGCUCCCCCGCUCCAACCCCUAGCCGUCCGUUUAGCCAGGCAAGCGAGCUUUUCUCGACCAAUCGAGAGAAUGCAUUUUUACCCCCACAUUCGAAUUGGUGAUUCACACCCCCGCACUAUCUUUCCACGUUGGAGCAACAAAUACACAAUACUCCUUUUUUCUCUCUCUUUCCUAGCUGUUCUAUCCCUACCAUCCCUUAUCAUCUAUUUUCAUUCGAUUUAACGUUUACGUUUUUUUGCGAGGACUUAAGACUUUUUUUUAAAUAAAAUCAAUCCAGUUCGAGGUAUAUAUACUCGCUAAAUCGGACCAUUCCAGUUCGAACUAUAAGUAGCGUAUAUAUAUAUAUAUAUGUAGCUUCGACAUCGCGUACCAAUUAUUAUAAAAAUCAAUUAUUAAGAUUUAUAAGUUAUUUCGUUUGGAAGUGAAUGGGAAGAGAUCGGCGCCUCGCAGUGUGAAUGUGCAGAAUAAAUGAAUGAUCAAGCAACGAGGAAGAGUGGAAGCCAGUUCCUCAGCGUGCAUGAUUCUAACGCGAGAAUGAUAUAGAACUCGUGGUCCUAAACACGGGAGAUGAGAGCUUUUCACCGAGGGAAACACGAUCACAUCGUUCUAUACAUGGUUGCUAUAGAAGCUUACCGCUGUGGCGGCAUUCCAGGGCGCAGACGGUUUAAUCGUAGCCACCUCCUCCAGAGCGUACGUGUGCAUGCAGCUACGUAGUCCAGCACCUAUAUACUCGGCGGAAGAGUUUUCCAU